GUACACGCUGUGACUAGCAUAUCAAUAAGCGGAGGAAAAGAAACUAACAAGGAUUCCCCUAGUAACGGCGAGUGAAGCGGGAAGAGCUCAAAUUUGAAAUCUUAAAGGGUUUCCCUUUACGAAUUGUAGUUUAAAGAAGUGUUUUCUGUUGAGGUUUUGGUAAAAGUUCUUUGGAAUAGGACAUCAUAGAGGGUGAGAAUCCCGUAUUUGACCUUUACUUUCAACUUUGUGAUACACUUUCAAAGAGUCGGAUUGUUUGGGAAUGCAGUCCAAAAUGGGUGGUAAAUUUCAUCUAAAGCUAAAUAUUGGCGAGAGACCGAUAGCGAACAAGUACCGUGAGGGAAAGAUGAAAAGAACUUUGAAAAGAGAGUUAAACAGUACGUGAAAUUGUCAAAAGGGAAGCGUUUGACACCAGUGUUGUUUUUCUGAAAAUCAAUUAAAGAACUGUUUAUGCUAAGCUGUUUAGACUUUAUCAGCUAAUCUGUUUAGUUUUGAGCUUUUCUUUAAUGCACUUUUCAGUUAACAAGUCAACAUCAAUUUCUUUUGCUGUAAAAAAGCUUGAGGAAGGUGGCUUGAGAUUCGUCUUAAGUGUUUAUAGCCUCUUGCCUAUGCAGUCGGAGAGAUUGAGGUCUGCAGCGUAGAUCCUUCGGGGCUAAAUGCAUUUGUGCUAAGUUAUAACAUUUUAUAGACAACUUGUUGACUAUGAUUUGUCUUGUAGCUUACUCGCUUAUGUUAUUUUACCUACGCUUAGGAUGUUGAAGUCAUCGUAUCGCGC
rnacentral:rRNA from 1 species